CAUGGCUUCGAUAACAUUUGCCUAAAUAUCAACGUGUAGCUUCGUAGCUCAGCAAUUAUGUCAUACUUCUGUAAUGUAAUUUCUUUUAAAUGUAGCUUUCUUACGAAGAUUUUCUUCUGUACCAGUUAAUCAUUAAUGUUAAGAAUUACAGUCAGCUCAUUCCAAAACCCCAAAAGAAACCUUGACAUAACAUUAUUGUCAAUUUGGACUCGCUAAAUUACCAUAAAAAGUAGCUGGUCUACACGUCUUUAUUAAUCUGUAAAUGAAUUACGGAGACAACUUUGCGUUCGUUUUCACCACUCUUUUAUCAACUAACGUAUUGAAAACUGUGAAAAAAACCCUACAUUUUAUUCACUUCUGGGAGCUCAAGGGUUACACCGAGGUGUAGCAAACAAAACUGACCCCAUUGCUAAUCAUUCAUUUUUCUUUAACAAUUAUAGAUGAUUCCGAUCCGAAUGGUAUAAUGCCUAAUUAUACAGAUGAUUGCCGCCAAUAUCUGCUUUCAAAGUGCUCACGAAGUAAAGGAACUCGUUCAAAAUUGCAGGCGUUACAAUAUUCCUGGUCUUGUGAAGAGCAUAAUAGUACAUUGGUCGGUAGCUGCCAAAUCAAGGACACACUCCUGAACUGCUGUCAAAACUAUUGUAGAGAAGGGAAUGAUAUUUAUUUCAUAGAUAUGGGAUCAGAUUUGGGUAAGUACGUAUUGUGUCAACAUGGGUCUUAAUUUCUGUAUCAUUGAUAAAAAUGAUAUGGUAUGGUAAAAACGUACGACAUACGACAAAAGAAAUGGGAGUCCUCUUCAAUAAACCCGUCAGAUUUUAAGUCAACUCAAUGAAAUAUUUAGGAAAAUCCUCUGAAUC